CAUGAAGCUGGAAUUGCUAGUAAUGGCAGGUCAGCAUACUGCCGUGAAUACGUUCCCGGGCCUUGUACACACCGCCCGUCACACCAUGGGAGCCGGUAAUACCCGAAGUCAGUAGUCCAACCUCGUGAGGACGCUGCCGAAGGUAGGAUUGGCGACUGGGGUGAAGUCGUAACAAGGUAGC
rnacentral:rRNA from 1 species